GACGAACGCUGGCGGCGUGCCUAAUACAUGCAAGUAGAACGCUGAAGGAGGAGCUUGCUUCUCCGGAUGAGUUGCGAACGGGUGAGUAACGCGUAGGUAACCUGCCUGGUAGCGGGGGAUAACUAUUGGAAACGAUAGCUAAUACCGCAUAACAGUAGAUGUUGCAUGACAUUUGCUUAAAAGGUGCAAUUGCAUCACUACCAGAUGGACCUGCGUUGUAUUAGCUAGUUGGUGAGGUAACGGCUCACCAAGGCGACGAUACAUAGCCGACCUGAGAGGGUGAUCGGCCACACUGGGACUGAGACACGGCCCAGACUCCUACGGGAGGCAGCAGUAGGGAAUCUUCGGCAAUAGACGGAAGUCUGACCGAGCAACGCCGCGUGAGUGAAGAAGGUUUUCGGAUCGUAAAGCUCUGUUGUAAGAGAAGAACGAGUGUGAGAGUGGAAAGUUCACACUGUGACGGUAUCUUACCAGAAAGGGACGGCUAACUACGUG
rnacentral:rRNA from 1 species